AUACGGAGGAUGCGAGCGUUAUCCGGAAUCAUUGGGUUUAAAGGGUCCGCAGGCGGUCAAUUAAGUCAGAGGUGAAAGCCCAUCGCUCAACGAUGGAACUGCCUUUGAUACUGGUUGACUUGAGUUAUACGGAAGUAGAUAGAAUAAGUAGUGUAGCGGUGAAAUGCAUAGAUAUUACUUAGAAUACCGAUUGCGAAGGCAGUCUACUACGUAUAUACUGACGCUGAGGGACGAAAGCGUGGGGAGCGAACAGGAUUAGAUACCCCAGUAGUCC
rnacentral:rRNA from 1 species